rnacentral:rRNA from 1 species
CGGGGUGCAGCAGGCGCGAAAACUUUACAAUGCCGGCAACGGCGAUAAGGGGACCUCGAGUGCCAGGUUACAAAUCUGGCUGUCGAGAUGCCUAAAAAGCAUUUCAUAGCAAGGGCCGGGCAAGACCGGUGCCAGCCGCCGCGGUAACACCGGCGGCUCGAGUGGUAACCGUUAUUAUUGGGUCUAAAGGGUCUGUAGCCGGCCGGAUAAGUCUCUUGGGAAAUCCAGCAGCUCAACUGUUGGGCUUUCAGGAGAUACUGUCUGGCUCGAGGCCGGGAGAGGUGAGAGGUACUUCAGGGGUAGGGGUGAAAUCUUGUAAUCCUUGAAGGACCACCAGUGGCGAAGGCGUCUCACCAGAACGGACCUGACGGCAAGGGACGAAAGCUAGGGGCACGAACCGGAUUAGAUACCCGGGUAGUCCUAGCCGUAAACAAUACUCGCUAGGUGUCGGCCACGGUGCGACCGUUGUCGGUGCCGUAGGGAAGCCGUGAAGCGAGCCACCUGGGAAGUACGGCCGCAAGGCUGAAACUUAAAGGAAUUGGCGGGGGAGCAC